UUAAAACUGUCCCUAAAACCUUAAAUAACCCGUCCCCAAUUCCACAAAAAAUAGGGCGGCAAAACUUGGCGCUUCAUUCCUUCUUUGGCGCUUUUGUAAGAGCAAAAUUAUAAUAUAUAAAAUUAUUUUAUUUAAUAAAAUAUUGAAGAACUAUGUUGUUUAAUAUCAUUACAUCUGAUCCAUAUACCUAUCUUCAGUUCUUAACCCGCCUUAAGCCCUCACUCCUCUUCCACCUUCUUCCACCCUCGCAGAAGAUAGAGUCUCUUCCACCCUCUUCCAUCGUCGCAGAAGACAGAGGCUCUUCCACCUUAGCUUCCAACAGCAAAGGCCAAAUGACCCAAUCGUUCCGACAACGACUCUUACUCUUGAGGGUUUCGAAAUUGCAAAAGGCCUAACAAUCGAAGGGGUAAAUUACAAAUCUGGAGUCGGCUUGUGGUUCGAGUCUGAAUUGCUGUGGGAAAUAUAGGUUUGAGAUAUAACGAGUUUGAUUUGUAAUGUGCUUGUUAAAAAACUCGUUAUGUGCUUGUUACACUGUGAAAUCACUUUGACAGAAUUUGAAUUCUGUGUUCUAUUUCUAUUUUGUUUGUUGUAUUGUGUUUAAUUUAGGAAAAAAGUCACAUUUGCAGAAGCGAUUCUUUGUUGCUUUGAAGAGAUUCUCGGGAUUAGAGGAGGCUAUCAGAAUUAAGAGUCCGGUGUCAAGAAUCUGAGCAAGAUCAAUUGUUGUAUACUUCUACGUUUGUAAUGGCUGAAGAGAUGAAGAUAUAUACUGGUAUAUGCUUCUCGAUUAUAUGAAGAUGUAAGGAUCAAUGUUAUCCUACUGAAUGAUUUUAUUUUAGUUACUUCCAUAUAUCUGAAAAAGGCCAACCACUCUGGUUGUGAUUAUUUGGCCUUGUAUUAUAAUCUCUGUAACUGAACAACACUAGCUUGAUGUGUGCGCUUGUGUGAGAGAGAGUGAGAGUGAGAGAGGCAGUCCAAUGCUUAAUGUGCCCAAGUGUGUGUGUUUGUGUGAGAGAGAGAGGCAAUAUAUACCCAGUGCCUUAAUUAGCUUUAUUAUCAUAGUGCUUAAUCUGAAACCCUCAGUAUGGCAUCCUGCAAUUAGAUAUAUUCUUCUAGUUUCAACAGAUGUGCCCUUAAAUUAAAUUAAACCAGUUGAUAAGAGUUUGUAUGUCUUCUGGAUAGUGAAUUCCAAUGUUCAUUGUUUAGUGUAUGUAAUAAGUAAGCUUUUUGAGACAUGAAAUGCACUGAUUCAAUUAAAUUUGUAAUCUUAUAUAUCAAAUUAAACUCGAGUAGUUAUGUAUUUAUAAAUAUGUUUGUUCUUCUUUUGACAUUGAUGAAUUAAUUUGUUGGUGUACACAUGUAAAAUUGACUCCUCAAAUACAAUGGGAUUGCAUUAAUCUUUCACACUUAUCUACCUCCUCCUAUUAACACCAUGGAAUGUAAAGUGAAAUGGAUUUGUGUACUAGAUAUUUAUAUAUUGUUCUUGUUUUUCAUUUUACUAGUACUUUGCUUUGCUUUGAUUCUUAGCAUUAGUCUUGAAGAGUAACUCCAAUAUCUCACCUGAGAUGGUUUAGAUAACCUCUUCAAUUAAUAGUUAUUUUGACGGUUAAUGAAUGUUAGGUUGUUUCAGGUUGGGCACAGCCCCUGCUGCCCAAUUGGGCCUGUUUGUAAUUAAUCAUUUAAUGUCAGUUGCUUUAUUUUUCAAAAAAAAAAAAAAAAAAAAAACUUCAAUAAUAAAUAUUUGAAACAAUAAAGGCCAUUACCUAACCUUUGACAAUUACAAUUACUGACCCUCUCUUACCUUAGUCUUUCAUUCAAUUGUGACUUUUGUGAAAUAAAAUGGCUGUGAAAUUACGAAAAUGUGUUUUGAUGACAAAAAGUUAUAAUUUUGAAAAUUGCGAGAGGAUGAAUGAGAUUUGGAUCCUUCCAUUGUUUUUUUUCUAGGAUUGACGUUAAUACCCUAUGAAGACUACACUAUAGGUGAUAUUCCUCUUAAAUUAAGUGUCCUCCUUUGGACUCCCAUGGACUGACCAGGACAGUAUAACCUUGGACUAGAAGCAUGAAGAAACCAGUCAAAUGCAUAUGGUGCAAAGAAAGGCAUUGAAGUAUAGAAUGCACAGUAUGUUACUCUACAUAAUGAACUUAGUGGAAUCAACUAAGGUUGUUCAUUCUUAAAUCACUGAGCCAAAUUUACGAAUCUUCAGAUAAAGUUCUACUAUAUUUUAAGCAUAUCUAAAGUUGGAGUGUGUUAUAUAUUAAUUCUCCGACUUCGAUUCUAUUCCAAUGAAUAUAAAUGUAUUGAAGUGUGUUAUAUAUUAAUCCUCCUCUGGUUUUGUUGCAAUGAAUAUAAAUGUAGGUUGCUUUUAAAACUGCGAAAAAAAGUAUGGCUUUCUUAAAGUGGACAUUUUUCUCGUUAUGCACAAUGAUAUAAUAUAGCUUUUAAAGGGAGUCACUUUCUGAAAUUCAGGAUUGUCUUUAUGUCAUAUUCUUAUCUUUACUCAUAAAGGCCAUUACCUAACCUUCGACAAUUACAACUUAGCUAUGUAGCUUAUGUGUAUUAUUUAAUCACAAUAACUUACCAUUGUACUCCGUAGUAAUGAUAGAGGCUUAUCUUAUCUUCCCUCUCUCUCUCUCUCUCUCUCUCUAUAUAUAUAUAUAUAUAUA